rnacentral:rRNA from 1 species
GGCCUUUUGAUUAUAAUUUAAGGUUUAACCUGCCCAAUGAUAAUAAAUAUUUAAUGGCCGCGGUAUUUUGACCGUGCAAAGGUAGCAUAAUCAUUAGUUUUUUAAUUGAAAGCUUGUAUGAAGGGUUUGAUGAGAAAAUUUCUGUCUCUAUUUAAAUUUAUUAAAAUUUUAUUUUUAAGUAAAAAAGCUUAAAUUUAUAUUGAAGACGAGAAGACCCUAUAGAGUUUAAUAUUAAGUUUAAUUAAGAUAUUUUUAGGAUUUAAAUUUUAAGUAGAUUUUAUUUAUUUGAUUGGGGUGAUUGAAAAAUUUAAAUAACUUUUUUUAAAAAAGAACAUAAAUUUAUGAAUAAAUGAUCCUUUUUUAAAGAUUAAAAGAAUAAAUUACCUUAGGGAUAACAGCGUAAUUUUUUUUUAGAGUUCAAAUUAAAAAGAAAGAUUGCGACCUCGAUGUUGGAUUAAAGGAAAUUAUUGGUGUAGAAGCUAAUAAAUUAGGUCUGUUCGACCUUUAAAAUUUUACAUGAUCUGAGUUUAAACCGGUGUGAG